ensembl:rRNA 5S_rRNA 5S ribosomal RNA
GUCUACAGCCAUGCCACCCUGAAUGGACAUGAUCUCCUCUGAUCUUGGAAGCUAAGCAGGGUCGGGCCUUGUUAGUACUUGGAUGGGAGACAGUCUGGGAAUACCGGGUGCUGUAGACC